UACGUUCCCGGGCCUUGUACACACCGCCCGUCACGUCACGAAAGUUGGUAACACCCGAAGCCCAUGGCCCAACCCGCUUGCGGGGGGGAGGUGGUCGAAGGUGGGACCGGCGAUUGGGACG
rnacentral:rRNA from 1 species